rnacentral:lncRNA from 1 species
ACCUGGGUGAUGAGAGAAAAUAGUGGCAACACCAAUGCUCUGUACCAGGAGCUGUGGAGGAGACUAUCGAGCCAAGAUGGAGUGGCAUUCCAGCUCCUGUCUCUCUGCCCUCGUCCAGACGGCCAACAGAUGUUCUUUGCCAUUGCCGACAAUGACAGGAGACCUCCCAAAGUCAAACAGAUGAAAACAUCACCACAGGCACAUUGGAGCAGAAUUAAAAAGCAUCCCUCUUGUCAUCAUGGUGAUGACAGGUAUUAUAUACCAGGUGUAUGGGAGAUAACAUGGUUGCCUUACCAUGUAAUUAUCAUUGUUUCCAAUGGAGUUAUCACCAACUGUAAUUGCCACUGCUGAGCAUAUGGCUUUUGGUAGUGACUCAGAAAACAACCUGUCGUGUUUGUUCUGAGUAGCAUCUGGGGGACCAAUCAAGGUGUCAUGAUUCUGAGCCAUAAAGGGAGAUGCCUUUAUCUCGGGGGUAACUGAAUGCUUUUCAGCCAGAAGCGAGUUCAGAAUUUGCAUGGUGGCCAAGUGAAGGGCAAUCAAAGGAUUGAGUUAAUGUGACUGUCAAGUGUUGGAUAAAAAAAAAUAAAAAUAAAAAAACUUCAUUCCCA